rnacentral:rRNA from 1 species
UACGUAGGGGGCAAGCGUUGUCCGGAUUUACUGGGCGUAAAGAGCGUGUAGGCGGCCAAGCAGGUCCGUUGUGAAAACUGGAGGCUCAACCUCCAGACGUCGAUGGAAACUGCUUGGCUAGAGUCCGGAAGAGGAGAGUGGAAUUCCUGGUGUAGCGGUGAAAUGCGCAGAUAUCAGGAAGAACACCGAUGGCGAAGGCAGCUCUCUGGGACGGUACUGACGCUGAGACGCGAAAGCGUGGGGAGCGAACAGG